UCCCACAGCUUAACCCUGAGCUUGCUUUCGAUACGGGCUGACUUGAGGGAGGUAGGGGAGAAUGGAAUUCCUGGUGGAGCGGUGGAAUGCGCAGAUAUCAGGAGGAACUCCGAUUGCGAAGGCAGCUCACUAAGCUGGUAUUGACGCUGAUGCACUAAAGCGUGGGGAUCGAACAGGAUUAGAUACCCUGGUAGUCCACGCCCUGAACGAUGGAUACUAGGUGUAGGAGGUAUCGACCCCGGGUGUGCCGCAGCUAACGCAAUAAGUAUCAAGCCUGGGGAGUACGGUCGCAAGGCUGACACUCAAAGAGUUUGAUCCUGGCUCAGAACUAACGCUGGCGGCGUGCCUAACACAUACAAGUCGUAACAAGGUAACCAGGUCUUGACAUCCCUACGAUUUCUAUGAAAGUAGGAAGUGCCUUUUAGGGGCAGCGUAGAGACAGGUGGUGCAUGGUUGU
rnacentral:rRNA from 1 species